UAUAGUGUAAUAACCUGUAAUAGUGUAUAUGACCCCAUCCAUAUAAGUGCACACUAUAGUGUAAUAACCUGUAAUAAUGUAUAUGACCCCAUCCAUAUAAGUGCACACUAUAGAGUAAUAACCUGUAAUAGUG